rnacentral:lncRNA from 1 species
UAUCAUACGAAUAGACAGAAUAGGGAAGAAAAUAAUAAUAAAGAGAUCCUCAAAUUACAAAAGGUUGGUCUUUCCAUUAAUUCAUGAAACAUAUUUCUAACUAGUUGGCAUCUCAAAACGGCAAAUUGGACAAUAAUGACUUGUUUUCAACCAUUUUAUAAUGCAAUUACCAUGAAAGAUAUGAGAGCAUGGCAUAUAUGUAACUUUAUAUCUUUUGGAGAACUCGUCCAAGCAUAUUGUACAAUACUCAGAAUUACCAUUCUCGUCAUCUAAUUUCUUCCUCUUGAGUUCUUUGAUUGAUGAGUUACUAGCCGGAAUCAUAUUAUGCUGCAAUAUCUCAUUAAACAUCUGUGAUUCACCAACAGUAAGAUUAUAUAUCGUAUAUACAUCAACAUCGAUAAAUAAAACAUAAUGACCAGGAGACAUAGAUUUUGCCAUUGCUCUUGUUUUCGAGAACACUUCUUUAAUCAUAUUUUCUCGAUGACAUUUACACAGUGGCCAAGUUUUGAUAGCAUCAAUGAUGAUUUUACGUGUCUUUCUAUAUGACGAGAACUGUUCAGGUUCCACCAGUAUGUAAGCUAACAUUUCUUGCAGUUGAAUUUCUUCUACGACUUGUUCGCCUUGUCUAAAAUUGGUCAAACAACACGUGCUUUUCCAAGAAAAAUCGUACAAGAUUUGAAAGGAGGAGGACAUGAGUGGGUUGUGGCAUGCAACUUCUUCUUCUCCCCUCUUUGUAAUUUCAAGGUAUACAUCUUUAUGGAAUUGAUAGUUACUAACCAUGUUAUAAAGAGAGAGAGGGAACCAAUAAGAAA